rnacentral:sRNA from 1 species
UUAAAUAUUUAAAAAUUAAAUAAUCAUUUGAAAGAAAACUUUAAAUUGAUUUAAAUUAUAAAUCUUUUAAUAAAAAUAUUAUUAAAAAAACAAAAAAUUAAUUUCACCGAACAGGAUUAGAUAGUAGGACUAGAUGGGAGAACGUGUUUAUAAUAUUAUAAUAUAUAAACUUUACAACAAUUAAAUAACCAUUUGAAAGAAAACUUUUAAAUUGAUUUGAAUUAAAUAUUUUUUAAAUUAAAGUAUUAUUAAAACAAAAAUAACAAAAUAAUGUCUAAUUUUACUGAACGGGGUUAGUGGUAGGACGGGUUUGGCCGAUAGUAUUACGAGACGGUAUACUACAAGUGAAAUCCAUUAGAUACGUUUAAUUUCACUGUGCAGGAUUAGAUGGUAUGACGGGUUUGGAUCGAUAGUAAUACGAAACAAUAUACUACGGGUGAAAUCCUAGAUAUAAACACUAAAAAAGCAAACAAUAUUAAUAAAACAAAUAUCUACAUAUACAUUUUAUAUAACAAAUUUUAUUAAUAACCUAGCCCCGCGGUAUACCGCGGGUCAAAAUCUAAUGUUAUCUCAUUAAUCAAAGUGAUAAUCUUAUGCAAAUCUGA